GAACGCACAUUGCGCCCGCCAGUAUUCUGGCGGGCAUGCCUGUUCGAGCGUCAUUUCAACCCUCAGGCCCCGCCUGGCGUUGGGGAUCGGCGCGGCCCUCUCCGGGCUGCCGGCCCCGAAAACUAGUGGCGGUCUCGCUGUAGUCCUCCUCUGCGCAGUAGCAACGCUCGCACUGGAACUCGGCGCGGCCACGCCGUAAAACACCCCACUUCUGAAAGUUGACCUCGGAUCAGGUAGGAAUACCCGCUGAACUUA
rnacentral:misc_RNA from 1 species